rnacentral:rRNA from 1 species
ACUCGAGUGGCGAACGGGUGAGUAACACGUGGGUGAUCUGCCCUGCACUUCGGGAUAAGCUUGGGAAACUGGGUCUAAUACCGGACAGGAGCCAUCUUUAGUGUGGUGGUUGGAAAGUUUUUCGGUGUAGGAUGAGCUUGCGGCCUAUCAGCUUGUUGGUGGGGUAAUGGCCUACCAAGGCGGCGACGGGUAGCCGGCCUGAGAGGGUGUACGGCCACAUUGGGACUGAGAUACGGCCCAG